UACAGAGGGUGCGAGCGUUGUUCGGAAUUAUUGGGCGUAAAGCGCUUGUAGGCGGCUUGUUAAGUUCCGUGUGAAAUCCCCAGGCUUAACCUGGGAAGUGCGCGGAAAACUGGCGAGCUUGAGUGCCGGAGAGGGUCGCGGAAUUCCCGGUGUAGAGGUGAAAUUCGUAGAUAUCGGGAGGAACACCAGUGGCGAAGGCGGCGACCUGGACGGACACGUGACGCUG
rnacentral:rRNA from 1 species